rnacentral:rRNA from 1 species
UACAGAGGUCUCAAGCGUUGUUCGGAUUCAUUGGGCGUAAAGGUGCGUAGGCGGCGCGGUAAGUCGGGUGUGAAAUCUUGGAGCUUAACUCCGAAACUGCAUUCGAUACUGCCGUGCUUGAGGACUGGAGAGGAGACUGGAAUUUACGGUGUAGCGGUGAAAUGCGUAGAUAUCGUAAGGAAGACCAGUGGCGAAGCGGUCUCUGGACAGUCCUGACGCUGAGGCACGAAGCCAGGGAGCAAACGGG